rnacentral:rRNA from 1 species
GUGAGGAAUAUUGGUCAAUGGACGCGAGUCUGAACCAGCCAAGUAGCGUGAAGGAUGACUGCCCUAUGGGUUGUAAACUUCUUUUAUAAGGGAAUAAAGUGAGGGACGUGUCCCUUUUUGUAUGUACCUUAUGAAUAAGGAUCGGCUAACUCCGUGCCAGCAGCCGCGGUAAUACGGAGGAUCCAAGCGUUAUCCGGAUUUAUUGGGUUUAAAGGGAGCGUAGGUUGACAUAUAAGUCAGCUGUGAAAGUUUACGGCUCAACCGUGAAAUUGCAGUUGAUACUGUAUGUCUUGAGUGUACAAGAGGUGGGCGGAAUUCGUGGUGUAGCGGUGAAAUGCUUAGAUAUCACGAAGAACUCCAAUUGCGAAGGCAGCUCACUGGGGUACAACUGACACUGAGGCUCGAAAGUGUGGGUAUCAAACAGGAUUAGAAACCCCGGUAGUCC